UGGGGAAUAUUGGACAAUGGGCGAAAGCCUGAUCCAGCCAUGCCGCGUGUGUGAAGAAGGUCUUCGGAUUGUAAAGCACUUUAAGUUGGGAGGAAGGGCAUUAACCUAAUACGUUAGUGUUUUGACGUUACCGACAGAAUAAGCACCGGCUAACUCUGUGCCAGCAGCCGCGGUAAUACAGAGGGUGCAAGCGUUAAUCGGAAUUACUGGGCGUAAAGCGCGCGUAGGUGGUUUGUUAAGUUGGAUGUGAAAUCCCCGGGCUCAACCUGGGAACUGCAUUCAAAACUGACUGACUAGAGUAUGGUAGAGGGUGGUGGAAUUUCCUGUGUAGCGGUUAAAUGCGUAGAUAUAGGAAGGAACACCAGUGGCGAAGGCGACCACCUGGACUAAUACUGACACUGAGGUGCGAAAGCGUGGGGAGCAAACA
rnacentral:rRNA from 1 species